CUCGUAGGCGGUUCGUCGCGUCCGGUGUGAAAGUCCAUCGCUUAACGGUGGAUCUGCGCCGGGUACGGGCGGGCUGGAGUGCGGUAGGGGAGACUGGAAUUCCCGGUGUAACGGUGGAAUGUGUAGAUAUCGGGAAGAACACCAAUGGCUAAGGCAGGUCUCUGGGCCGUUACUGACGCUGAGGAGCGAAAGCGUGGGGAGCGAACA
rnacentral:rRNA from 1 species